rnacentral:rRNA from 1 species
GACAGAGGGGGCAAGCGUUGCUGGGAAUCACUGGGCGUAAAGGGCGCGUAGGCGGGAUGGCAAGUCGGUCGUGAAAUCCUUCGGCUCAACCGAAGAACGUCGGCCGAUACUGCCGUUCUUGAGGGAUGCAGAGGAGAUUGGAAUUCCCGGUGUAGCGGUGAAAUGUGUAGAGAUCGGGAGGAACACCGGUGGCGAAGGCGGGUCUCUGGGCAUCUCCUGACGCUGAGGCGCGAAAGCGUGGGGAGCAAACGGG